AGUGAACGCUGGCGGCGUGCUUAACACAUGCAAGUCGAACGGAUGAAAUAAGCUUGCUUAUUUCGUUAGUGGCGCACGGGUGAGUAAUGUAUAGCUAACCUGCCCUUUAGUGGGGGACAACAGUUGGAAACGACUGCUAAUACCCCAUACUCCUUCUUAUCUUAAGAUAAGUUGGGAAAGAUUUAUUGCUAAAGGAUGGGGCUUUAUGGUAUCAGCUAGUUGGUGGGGUAACGGCCUACCAAGGCGAUGACGCCUACCUGGUCUGAGAGGAUGAUCAGGCACACUGGAACUGAGACACGGUCCAGACUCCUACGGGAGGCAGCAGUGGGGAAUAUUGCACAAUGGAGGAAACUCUGAUGCAGCAACGCCGCGUGGAGGAUGACGCAUUUCGGUGUGUAAACCCCUUUUAUAAGGGAAGAUAAUGACGGUACCUUAUGAAUAAGCACCGGCUAACUCCGUGCCAGCCGCCGCAGUAA
rnacentral:rRNA from 1 species